UCCUUUCAUAGCUGCCUUUUCUUCUACUACGUUGCGUUUCUUCGGUGGAAGCUUGCAAAUGCCUAAAACCAUAGAAGCAAUAACAUUUUGAGACAACUUGCUGGUUUACAUUCUUGCAACAGUUUCACCAGAUUUGGGAUUUUGCCUUCCCAAAGGGACGUUAAGCCAGUUGUUAACUUUGCAAACGAUGGCUUGUGUGAGAACCUCCGGAGAGGAUUGGGGAGAAAUACAAGUAUAUAUCUGCAGGGUUGUGUCUGCAGAUUUGCACAAAUGAAUAAAUUCAAUGUUAAUGAUAAUGUGCUUACUUUCAUACGAGACUAAUUAAAAUUUUAAAAUAUUUAUAGGAAAUAAAAGGUGAAGAAAUAUACCCUGCAGCCAUGAGCCAUGGUGGAGAAGCUAGCUCGAUGCUCCUCUUUCUAUUUCCCUUGUCCUCCGAUUUCUCCCAUGCCACCCAUUUUUACAGUAACAUAAGG
rnacentral:lncRNA from 1 species